rnacentral:antisense_RNA from 1 species
CUUGAUGGACGCCAGCCACAGCGGCUCGCCGUUCGUCCGCUGCUGGCCGUAGGUGGCGAGCAGGGCGUGUGCCUC